rnacentral:tRNA from 1 species
UCUAAUAUGGCAGAUAGUGCAUUG